rnacentral:hammerhead_ribozyme from 1 species
AUCUUGCUGACGAGUGCCAAGUAGCACGAAACCCGGGUCCACGGUAU